UACAGAGGGUGCAAGCGUUAAUCGGAAUUACUGGGCGUAAAGGGCGCGUAGGUGGUUGAUUAAGUUAGACGUGAAAUGUUCGGGCUUAACCUGGAUUUGUCGUUUAAUACUGAUUGACUAGAGUACAGGAGAGGAUAGUGGAAUUUCCAGUGUAGCGGUGAAAUGCGUAGAUAUUGGAAGGAACACCAGUGGCGAAGGCGGCUAUCUGGCCUGAUACUGACACUGAGGCGCGAAAGCGUGGGGAGCGAACAGG
rnacentral:rRNA from 1 species